UGGGAAUGCAUACAUGGUUUCUUUGUCAGCUCAGCUUCAGCUUGUACUAACAAAGUGGCAGAAGAUGGGAGAGAAUAGGGUCAGAGCACUCCAGGUUUUUGUGUGGCUUCUGUCUGAGAUGUUUCUCAGGAGCAGUCUGACAGGGAAUGGCAGAGCCCCAUUACAUGGCACAGAGGGUGGCUGGGUUCCAGCUCGUCAGUGUAAGUCAUCAGAACUUAUCAUCUGAAUAGACUAUGUCAACAGAUCUUCCUUACAGUAGAGUACACCUGGACUGGAAAGAUGAAACAGCAAGAAUUGCCUUUUUUUGUUCUGUGGAGGAUUUACUUGCUCUCUAGAACCGACUUGUUUGAACUUUCAAGUUAAGCUGAAAAGAUGCUGUGAAAUACUGAAAAAAUGGAAGAAACAGAAACAUGCAAAUGUUCAUUGUUAGCUAACUGCAGGACACUGCAAGUAAGGAAGUUAAGCUGAUAAAUAUGCUUUCUGUAUAACAUCUCAAAUCUGUGUUGAAUUGUUCAUCUUGCUGCUAUGA